UGCUCUUGAAGCACCUGCACCAGAAUC
rnacentral:piRNA from 1 species